rnacentral:rRNA from 1 species
AAUGAACGUUGGCGGCAUGGAUUAGGCAUGCAAGUCGAGCGAGAAGGAAAUCAAAGUUUACUUUGGUUUCCGGAAAGCGGCGAAAGGGAGAGUAACGCGUAGUUAUCUACCCCAAGGCCCGGAAUAGCUGCGGGAAACUGCAGGUAAUGCCGGAUAAUAUCCCCGGAUCAAAGGUGUGAUUCCGCCUUGGGAGGAGACUGCGUUGUACUAGCUUGUUGGUAGGGUAAUGGCCUACCAAGGCUACGAUGCAUAGCGGGCGUGAGAGCGUGGCCCGUCUCACUGGGACUGAAGCACUGCCCAGACACCUACGGGUGGCUGCAGUCGAGAAUCUUCGGCAAUGGGCGAAAGCCUGACCGAGCGAUGCCGCGUGCGGGAUGAAGGCCCUCGGGUUGUAAACCGCUGUCGUAGGGGAGAAAGGACCGUUGAAGAGACGGUUUUGAUCUAUCCUAGGAGGAAGUCCGGGCUAAGUUCGUGCCAGCAGCCGCAGUAAAAC